UACGGAGGGUGCAAGCGUUGUCCGGAUUUAUUGGGUUUAAAGGGUGCGUAGGCGGCCUAUUAAGUCAGGGGUGAAAGACUGCAGCUUAACUGUAGCGGUGCCUUUGAUACUGAUGGGCUUGAGUACAGAUGAGGCUGGCGGAAUGGGUGGUGUAGCGGUGAAAUGCAUAGAUACCAUCCAGAACACCGAUUGCGAAGGCAGCCGGCUAAACUGUAACUGACGCUGAGGCACGAAAGCGUGGGGAUCGAACAGG
rnacentral:rRNA from 1 species